UAGAAGACAAGUUUGGACUGCGAAAAUCUC
rnacentral:piRNA from 2 species